GACAGAGGUGCCGAGCGUUAGGCGGAAUCACUGGGCUUAAAGCGUGUGUAGGCGGAUCGUUAAGUGCCUUGUGAAAUCCCACGGCUCAACCGUGGAACGGCUGGGCAUACUGGCGGUCUUGAGCCAUCUAGGGGCGACUGGAACAAACGGUGGAGCGGUGAAAUGCGUAGAUAUCGUUUGGAACGCCAAUGGUGAAAACAGGUCGCUGGGGAUGAGCUGACGCUGAGACACGAAAGCCAGGGGAGCAAACGGG
rnacentral:rRNA from 1 species